rnacentral:rRNA from 1 species
CCUGAGAGGGUGAACGGACACACUGGAACUGAGACACGGUCCAGACUCCUACGGGAGGCAGCAGUAGGGAAUAUUGCUCAAUGGGGGAAACCCUGAAGCAGCAACGCCGCGUGGAGGAUGAAGGUUUUAGGAUUGUAAACUCCUUUUGUUAGAGAAGAUAAUGACGGUAUCUAACGAAUAAGCACCGGCUAACUCCGUGCCAGCAGCCGCGGUAAUACGGAGGGUGCAAGCGUUACUCGGAAUCACUGGGCGUAAAGAGCGCGUAGGCGGGAUAGUCAGUCAGGUGUGAAAUCCUAUGGCUUAACCAUAGAACUGCAUUUGAAACUACUAUUCUAGAGUGUGGGAGAGGUAGGUGGAAUUCUUGGUGUAGGGGGUAAAAUCA